CGGCGAUGUAAAGUACCAAGUGACUUGGAGAUUGGAUCUUAUAAGGUGGUGGGUCCUGUGGUGGAAUAGGAUAGAGAUUGGAGACAUCUAUUAGAGAUUGGAGAUAGCUAAGGCAGCUAUUUCUAAGCUCCAAGACAAGGAGGAUAGUGAGAGUGGUCUCUCUGAUGCUGAAUUGGCAGAAAUUUGGGGGUAACUAUCGCUUCAUCAUUCUUUGAUGAGUCAACAGAAGGUGAUCUAGAGGCAAAAAUCAUAGACUU
rnacentral:lncRNA from 1 species